CGGGAAGUAGCUCAGCUUGGUAGAGCACUUGGUUUGGGACCAAGGGGUCGUAGGUUCGAAUCCUGUCUUCCCGA
rfam:Staphylococcus pettenkoferi VCT012 contig00072, whole genome shotgun sequence.